UGUCUUGAAAAAACAACAACAACAACAAAAAACCAACCAAACAAAAAAAGACUUUGGAUUUUAAAAGAAACCAUGGAUAUUUUAAAGAGACAAUUUUUGAAGUAUUGUAAAUGUAAAGACUGUGAAACUUUUAAAGUACUAUGUCUAUAUUGUGAUAUUAUUAUUAUUUUUAUACUGUCCAUAAUACUUUGUUGGUUUCCUAUUGACCUGGACCCAGCUGGGUGUGCUCAGGGCAAGAUCACUGUUCACCAUAUUCCAGGUGGGUAAUGAGAAAGCCUCAACCUAGACUCCAGCCCCUUCAGAGUGUGGAGGAAGAGCCUGCGUUUUCUGGGCCAGCACAGGACAUCCAGUCCCUGUAAAUAAGCAGGCCCGGGGAGCGAACCAUGCCUGAGAGGAACCCUGCCCAGUGCCAUAACAGCACCCCUGAGACCACUCCCAAGAUGACCCAGGACACCAGAGACCCUGGGUGCCACUAUGAGGAGCAAGGCAUAAUUGGGUUGGAGAGAUUUACUGCAACAGAGGUGGGCACAAUGAAGAGAGGCAGAACUGGAGACACAAGGAUAGUGAGGGUCAACCUGAUGGUUAACUCAUACUUGUCUUCUAGACUUAGCCGGCAUCUCCCUGUCCAGAGAGCCUCUGUCGUUUGCAAGCUGAUGCGGUGUCUUCCUGUGGGGUCCCUGGGAGCUCACUCACCCUUGCCUGUCUCCCGUAGCUUACAGAUGCUUUAUGCAGCCGCUGUGUUUCCACCUUUCCCUGUUGUUGGACAGAGAGUCUUGAGGGCAGACCCUGCAUGUCCAAGCACUUUAAUCCUUCACUAACAUUUCCCACGUCAGCCCUUGGGAAGCAUUGGUCGGACUGGAUCUGAAUCAGCACUUGUCCAUUUGCCAAAUGGAGUUCUUGUAUACACUGCUCUGAAAUGAGCAGAGUUUAAAAAUAAAGUAAAAUAAAACCAGA
rnacentral:lncRNA from 1 species